rnacentral:lncRNA from 1 species
UUCUCUUGCAAAUGUACGCCAUAUCUAACCGUUACUCAUUAUACUGUCUCUCUUUACACUUCUGGUCACUAACUUGAUCGUCGGAGAACUAUCCUGAAAUAACUUCGGCAAACUUUCUCACUGUUCUUGUCUCGCAAAUUCAACUAGCAGUCUUUGCCACCAGCUUUCUCUCAUUAAUCACUGCCGAUGUCUACGUUUGAUUUCUUUUCUCUCUCCCCUACCCCACAACGACCAAAAGUGAAACUAUAGUGACCAACAACGAAACUUUUCAAAAAUAAUUUUCAUAAGAAAUUCCUAAAUAAGUUAUUUUACAAAAUAAAUUCCUUCCAUUUUUUGGCCCACACGCGCGUUAAUAAAAACUCUUUAGUAGAUAAAACUCAGUGUGGGCUUCGGGGACAUAUCACAUGUUGAAAGCCCCUUUUUUUGGAAAAAGCCAGCCUUUUAAACGGCCUUGGGAAAAAGAUCACCAAAUUCUGUUGUUGGUGGAUUUCUCGUUUGGAGAUGAGCUUUGAACCCCAAAUAUGCAAUGCACGGAACUGAUGUUUUACGCAUCUUUGAUUAAACAAACCAAAUAUUACUUUAAAGGCAUCCCGUUUGUUAUAGAACUUUCUAGAUGCCAAAAGAAAUGGAAUUUUGAAAAAAGGAAUAAAAAAAACCAAAUAGUGAGAGAACAGCAACUUGUACCGACAGACAGGAAACCAAUAAUACGUACAGAAAACCUAUUUGUUGAUUGAAAUGACCUUACUGUUUGGGUUUAACAAGGUCGAAGUACCCAGAACUUAGAUUCGAACACAAUCACAACCCACCAAUUGAAAAAUAUGAUGACAAAAUAACAUGGAGAAACACACAAUCAUUUACGUGGUUCAGGCAAAACGGCCUACUCCACUGGAGGAUCCCAUCCCGUUUUUUCACUAUAAGUAAAAAUAGUACAAGUAUACUUUCGUAUGACUAUCCCAACCCCAAACCCUUAUGCAUCACCAUAAGAACAACACUCAUCCACAAGUAUAAACUUGUCCCUUGCAACACACUCUCUCCUCUCCUUCUACUAUCUAUUCUUCUUUUCCCAGCAUCCCUCUCUUAAGCCUUCCAAGAGACGUCGAAGGAGACUUUGAAGGUCAACCGCAAUCUAAGACCAUGACUACUAGCCGCAAUCAUCAAAGACCAUGACUAGCCACAAUCAAGAGACAUGACCCGGCCGCAAUAGCAACUAUGACUCGGCCGGUGUAAGAUAAUUAAACCAAUUGUUGAAAUUAGAACCAAUCCCAACACUUACGAAGCUUGUAAAGGCUUCCAUGGCCUUCAUGAUUCACCAUCAUCAACACACAAUCCAAAAUCGGACCAUCACACAAAAAGUUCAAAACAAAAUCUUUGAUCAGACCAUCGCUGUAAAAUCGAAACUAAAUUUCAGAUGAAAUCAAACACAGAAUAACUUGGAAAUGAAGAAAUCUGCUUUCUAAAAAAACGUAUAACCAAUUCUGAAAUUAAAUGAAUUUUCUGAUCAAAUCCCAGAGAGUGAGGCAGGGAGAUGGGUGUCUAAUUAGUGUAAUUAUUAUAUCACGUGAUAUGUUGAUGAAGUAGUCUAAUUAACUAAUAAUAAAUUAAUAAAUAUGAUGAAAAAAUCUUAUAAGGUGAAUAUAAUUAUUUUUUUUAAAAAAUCAAUAAUUUUUAUAUAAUAUUAACGACAACAUAAUAUCACCACGUUAUAAUGAAUACUUCUCAAUUUAAUGAAUAUAUUUGAAGAGAGAGAGAGACACGGGUACCAAUAAAUGGGAGAGGAUCCCCUGGAUCAAUUUCUCUGUCCGACUCCCCUGUCCCAGUCUCCAGCGCCCAACACCUGUCCCCUUCCCCCAAACCCCCAAUUACUUCUCGUCCCCACUUGGUCCAUUAAAGUUUUAGAUUUUUCAAAUUUAGUCCUUGAAACAGUUUGAAUUUGAUUUUUUUAAAAUUUGAAAUGUUGAGAUAGAACAUUAAAUGAGUAAAGAACUCGAGACCAUAUUAAACUAGAUUUUUAAAAGACUUGUUUCAGUUUAAAUUUUUUAAAAAGUGGGUAUUUAUUUUUGAUUUUUUUAAUUAUUUUGAAAGAUGUUUUUUUUGAUAACUUUUCACCAUUUGAUACAAAUUUAUCUUUAUUCGGUCCCUUCUUUUCAGAGGAAUUCAAAAGGGAAAAUUUGUAAUCUAAGUCAAAAAAUUAUUAAAAAAAUAAAAAAAUAAUAUAAAAAUGCUAGUCUUUUGUCAUUAUUGAUCUUUUUUCACUUUAAAUAAAAUAUAUAUUGUUGACUCCUCUCUUAGGAGAAUCAAAAAAUAUCAUUUUUGUAUCAAACGGUGAAUAUUUUUUUAUACAGAUAGCUUUUUUGAGUUUUUUUAUUUUUUAUAAAAACAAUUCACAUUUGAUCAAAAAAUUAUAUUUUUUUAUUCCUCCUAAUGAGUGGAGUCAAAAAUAAUUUUUAUUAUUAUUAAUGUGGAAAAAAAUAUCAAUAGAUAAAAGAAUAUUAUUUUAUAA